rnacentral:rRNA from 1 species
AUUGAACGCUGGCGGAAUGCUUUACACAUGCAAGUCGAACGGCAGCACGGACUUCGGUCUGGUGGCGAGUGGCGAACGGGUGAGUAAUGUAUCGGAACGUGCCCAGUCGUGGGGGAUAACGUAGUGAAAAUUACGCUAAUACCGCAUACGAUCUAUGGAUGAAAGCGGGGGAUCGCAAGACCUCGCGCGAUUGGAGCGGCCGAUAUCAGAUUAGGUAGGUGGUGGGGUAAAGGCCCACCAAGCCAACGAUCUGUAGCUGGUCUGAGAGGACGACCAGCCACACUGGAACUGAGACACGGUCCAGACUCCUACGGGAGGCAGCAGUGGGGAAUUUUGGACAAUGGGCGAAAGCCUGAUCCAGCCAUUCCGCGUGCAGGACGAAGGCCUUCGGGUUGUAAACUGCUUUUGUACGGAACGAAAAGGCUCUGGUUAAUACCUGGGGCUCAUGACGGUACCGUAAGAAUAAGCACCGGCUAACUACGUGCCAGCAGCCGCCGUAA